rnacentral:rRNA from 1 species
UACGUAGGUCCCGAGCGUUGUCCGGAUUUAUUGGGCGUAAAGCGAGCGCAGGUGGUUUAUUAAGUCUGGUGUAAAAGGCAGUGGCUCAACCAUUGUAUGCAUUGGAAACUGGUAGACUUGAGUGCAGGAGAGGAGAGUGGAAUUCCAUGUGUAGCGGUGAAGUGCGUAGAUAUAUGGAGGAACACCGAUGGCGAAAGCGGCUCUCUGGCCUGUAACUGACACUGAGGCUCGAAAGCGUGGGGAGCAAACAGG